UUGCCUGGCUGCAAGGCUGCUUGGAGCAUUUUGGAGGUAAGGGAGAUCACUUCUCGGCCUCUUGAAGGCUCAGAUCAGGUUAGCGGACGGGCCUAGGUCCGGCCGCUGCCUGGUCGGGCCUCGAGAGGCCGGGCGUCGGGAGUGGAGAUGGCGGUGCAGACGAAGAGUGCGAUGAAGGAAAUGGUGAGGCGGACGGAGGUUGGGGAGCGGAGGAGAUCGGAGCGGACAGAGGUUGGGGAGCGGAGGAGAUCGGAGAGGAGACUCAGGAAAGAGUGGGGAGAACAGUCAAACCAUCGGAGGAGGCAAGCGGAACAAAGAAGGAGAUGCCUUAAAAUAGUAUCACUAAGGGAAGAAGUAUGGAAAACUGAGAGCCACAGGAGUUGAAAUGGAAUGGCACCCUUAAGGCAUGUACUGCCCCUCCCAGAGAUCAUAAAGCAAUUGAGUGAGUGUCAUUGUGGCAGAUACCAGACCAGCCAGUGGGGACGUGCAGCUCAGGACGGGAGUCCCUUCUUUUCAUUUCACUCCUUAAUUUUUUGCUUUUUUUACCAAGAAGGUAGAAGAGUGCUCGGGGGGGGGGGAGAAGCAUGAGUGUCAGUGCUAUUGUAUGCCAAGCCUUGAACAUGUGGGUGUCUGAACAGAGUUUCAGCAGUGGAUUUCACUAGGCAAUCUUCGGAUAAGUUUUUGUUUUCACUUAUGUGAAUCUACUUCCAUGGCUUUCAUGUGGCUUGCUUAGACAAGGAUAAUGUCUAUCUAUGUAGGAGGAGGGCAAGUUGACAGAGGGAUCUUGUUGGUGUGUGUGUGUGUGUGUGUGUGUGUGUGUGUGUGUGUGUGUGUGUGUGUGUGUGUGUGUGAUGAUACCUUCUGUGGUUCCAGAUGUUAGUGAUGGAUUUACCUGUGCAAGAACUAGCAUCUAACAACUAAUUUCUGGAAGCGAGCUUGUGGAAUGGUGGGAAAACUGUCUUAUUUUGUGGGAAUGUUCUCAAACUACCCCUGUCAAUAAAGUAGCAAAUGAACUUUUUUAGUCUUAGCAUAUGAAUGCUCAUAAUUCCCUUCAAAAAGCACUGAAAUCUGUGGACACUGCAGUCUCUUAGAAUUGAACCUCACCAUGUUAUUUUUAAAGUGGAUAUUUUAGGGAACAAAGGGAUGCUUCUUGACAAGGUAACUUGGACACAGCCCCUGUUCUUUGUAUUGUUUUUGCUCUUGUAUCUUGUCAUUCUGGCUAGGAGCACCCUCCUCCUGCUCACCAUCUUUGCUGACCAGAGCCUUCUAACCUCCAUGCACUUUUUUCUUGGAAAUGCAAAUUUCAAGGAAAAAUACUAUACAGCCAGUAUAGUGCCCAAGCUGUUAGCCAUAUCAUUUUUCCAAUGGUGCUCCUGACGGCCUGCUUGAUGCACCUGUAGCUGUGCACAUGGCAUGAUGUCUCCAUCACAUAGGGAAAGCAAUGCUGCAGCUGAAAUAAUGUCUAGAAGCCCCCAGACAAAUGCAGAUGACUUGCAGAUCUAAUAGUAGGAUUGAAGGAUAAAUCUUUUGUUCGUAGAUAUUAAUGUCUAAAGGCAACCAUGCCCAUCAGAUCCCUGCUUAACAAAGAUCAGAUGAUUCCACCGAGUAAGUCCUGCAUACUGUAAACAUGUUUUGUUUUGUUUUUUGUUUUUUUUUUUACUAUGCAAUAUACAAUAAGUAUUUGUUUAGGUGUUAACAACUCUUAUAAAACUACUUUGAGGUCCACUAGUAAUGGAAAGGAAAAGAAGUGCAUUUGGUUCUUUACAAUUGUGUAGAUGAUGAUAUUACUUGGUUAUGUGACUAAAAAGUUGAAAAUCUUCUGUGACUUCAAAAAAAAAAAAGUAGGUAAAUAUUGCUCUGAUUGUCUACUUUAUUUCUUGCAUAUGUAUGUCAUUCGAAACCUCUGUGUCUAUCUGAACACUUGAAUGUAUAUCAAAACUUCAGAAACAUUUGGAUGUGAACUCGGAGAAAAGCAUGAAACAACGUACAGAGCAGCCUGAAAAGCUGGGGAGUGGGGGUUGGAAAGUCCUCUCCAUUUUGCUCCUCAUCCAACCAGUGUCCUUGCCAACCUCACACUCAGUCCCACCUUCUUUUCCACUUUCUACAGCUCUCAGGCUUUGCCUUCCUGAC